rnacentral:rRNA from 1 species
UACGAAGGGGGCUAGCGUUGCUCGGAAUCACUGGGCGUAAAGCGCACGUUAGGCGGACUCUUAAGUCGGUGGUGAAAUCCUGGAGCUCAACUCCAGAACUGCCUUUGAUACUGAGGAUCUUGAGUUCGGGAGAGGUGAGUGGAACUGCGAAGUGUAGAGGUGAAAUUCGUAGAUAUUCGCAAGAACACCAGUGGCGAAGGCGGCUCACUGGCCCGAUACUGACGCUGAGGCGCGAAAGCGUGGGGAGCAAACAGG